rnacentral:lncRNA from 1 species
UGAAUUGCUUUUAAAUAUGAAGGUUUCUAUAUAUACUUUGAUAUAUCUUUUGACUUUAUAUUAGAAAAUGUGCAUGCCUGUGCAUUCAUAACAGGGAGUGAUGAUAAAAGACCUCACUUGUGUUAAAACUAAUCACAGUGUAGGCAGCUGCUGUGAGCUGGGCUAUAACAACUUUAUCUCCAUAGGUGAAUUGGAAAAU